rnacentral:lncRNA from 1 species
GGAUCCCUGGGGCAGAGAGGAAGCUUCUAGUGUACUCUUACUUUGAAAAGGGUCGCGCUGUUUUGCCAGGCUGGAGUGCAGUGGCAUGAUCUCAGCUCACUGCAACCUCCGCCUCCCGGGUUCAAGCAAUUCUCCUGCCUCAGCCACCGAAGUAGCUGGGACUACAUGCACAUGCCACCAUGCCCAGCUAAUUUUUGUGUUUUUAGUAGGACGGGGUUUCACCAUGUUGGCCAGGAUGGUCUCAAUCUGUUGACCUCGUGAUCCACCCACCUCAGCCUCCCGAAGUGCUGAGAUUACAGGCAUGAGCCACCACAUCUGGCCUAUGCCUCUCCUUCUUAAACUGCUAUAAGAUAACUUCCAGAUGUUGCCAUGGCAUUUAUAAACUAUCAUAGCACUGGUGGGAGUAUAGCAGAGAGGAUGACCAUAGGUCACUCUCAUCACCAUGUUAAUUUUGGUGGGUUUUAUCCAGCUUCUAAUACUGCAAACUGUGUUAUCAGCCAGGUCUUUGUGACCUGUAUCUUAUGCUGACCUUCUAUCUCACCUUGUGAGUUAGAAUGCCUAACCAUCUUGGAAUGCAGCCCAGUGGGUCUCAGCCUUAUUUUUACUCAGGCUCUAUUCCAAAUGGAGUUGCUCUGGUUCAAUACGCCUCUGACAGAAUCUGUGUCUGGCUAUGUGAUAAAUAAGAAAAGAGAGCACCAUCUAAGUCAUAAUGGGAAGGGUGUUUCUUUCCAUAAACUAUUUCUAGAGAACACAAAGGAUGAAGGAUUUUAUUAAUCACAGCUAUUUACCCAGAUUAUGUUUGUGAUUCAUCAUUCCCCACCUCUUUUCUUUGUCAUGUACAUUUCUUCCAUUUGACUUUUCCUGGGUUGUACUUUUUAUAAUAAACUAGUAAACAUAA